rnacentral:rRNA from 1 species
CAAUAGCGUAUAUUAAAGUUGUUGCAGUUAAAAAGCUCGUAGUUGGAUUUCUGCUGAGGACGAUCGGUCCGCCCACUGGGUGAGUAUCUGGCUCGGCCUUGGCAUCUUCUUGGAGAACGUUGCUGCACUUGACUGUGUGGCGCGGUAUCCAGGACUUUUACUUUGAGGAAAUUAGAGUGUUUCAAGCAGGCGCACGCCUUGAAUACAUUAGCAUGGAAUAAUGAGAUAGGACCUUGGUUCUAUUUUGUUGGUUUCUAGAGCUGAGGUAAUGAUUAAUAGGGAUAGUUGGGGGCAUUCGUAUUUAACUGUCAGAGGUGAAAUUCUUGGAUUUGUUAAAGACGGACUACUGCGAAGGCAUUUGCCAAGGAUGUUUUCAUUGA